ACAUGGCGGCCAGAGUAGAGUGCGAUAUGCAUUGCUUGCUAAUAUUUUUUAUAAUUAAAGUGUGAUAGUUGUUCAUUGCAAAAGAAUUAACGAUUAUCGCCACAAGAAUCAAAUUGAGGAAUGAUUUAGGCAAAGAUAUUUCGUUAUUACGUUAUUUUGUUCAGUUUGUACCAGUGAAGUUGACUGGUUUGUACUCACUCGGUGUUAUACUGUGUAAAAGCAGUAAAACUGUGCCGUCACUGCUGUGUAUCAAUAAUCAUGCCAAGGAAUCGCGUCUGCAACAUUUGUGAAAAGUCAAUAACUUUACAUGGAAAGAGGAUUUGAAAAAUACAAUGACUUGCUCAUCCUGUAAUGACAUUUUUUUAUUUUUUAGAAUGCCACCCGUGCGUCGUUCUAAGCGUGUCGCCGCUCCAUCAGCCGUUUUGCGAGAGUCUGUUCAGAACCAACCAACAACAUUUCGCCGAACUCGAAGUUCGCCCAAUGCUGUAUCUGUUGGUGCCGCCCCGUCAACGUCAACUGUGCCCGUGAGUGAUGUGGCUUUGCCCUCUCUUUCUAGUGAGCUUAUCUUAACGCUGGUGUCUUCGGUUACCGAGGCAGUCACGCAAAAGCUAGCUGGCUUCUUACCAACCUCUGCGUCUUCCACAUCCACAGUGGCGUCUGCCCCAACAGAUUCUACCUCCGGAAUCAAAAUCUCAAACCAGGGUCCCAAUGCAGAUUCUCUGGUCAACGAAGCGCUCGCGUCCACACAAGAAAACCUUACAGGUCAGACCACUCCUUUUUCUCUUCCAUGUUCAAGUGCUCCGGGUCCACGGGAAUCGUUCCACUCUGCCGCUUUGCCUCUUGAUUCGCGGAUUCCUGAUAAAAUAAAGUUUAAAAUAUGGAAUGAGGAGUUUGUCGAUAUAAGUACUUUGUCAGGUGGCCCAGACGCGGCCGCUAAAUACGAGAUUAGUGUACGUACCUCUGACAACGGUCAACCUGCUUCUCUUCUUCUUAAGCCAACUGUGAAAUCCUAAAGGGUCAAAACUAUUAGCGAUUGGCUUCGUUCGUUUCAUAUUUUUGUUUCCAUUUAUACACAACGAUACCCCCAUGAGUCUCCCGCGCUCAUGAAAUAUUGUCAAAUCAUCCAGGAUUUUGCCAAUAUAGGGGUCAUAAUUGGUUUUACUACGAUGAGAAUUUUCGAUUUUUGCGCCAAACACAGGUCACGCGCGUUCCCUGGGCGACCGUUCACUGGGGGUUAUGGUUGAAAUCUCAAUAUCCCACUACUUCUAAGCCAAACACGCCAAUGACUGUUAAUUCACAUUCACAUGAAACAAACUUUCAGAUCAGGCACAUAUAUUCAAGGUAAUUCCCAUGUAACAAAAGAUAUUAGACUCUGCAUGAAUUAAGCGUAAUCAAUUAGUGCAUACUGCAGCUCUGACUGAUAUAAUUCCAGUGUGGACCACACAUUGGGUUUAAGAAAGCAUAUGUAUUACGCUUGAUUUUAGAAAAAGCUUCUGUGCUGUGAUGGAUGUGACCAAAGUUAUCAUACAUUUUGUUUAAAGCCAGAAUUGGAUAAACCUCCAAAAGAGGAAUAGAAAUGUCCAAAAUGCACUUUGGCUGAGAAGAAAGAAUCGAUCAAGAAUUCGCCUAAGGCGAAUAAGUCGCCGUAUCGAACUUCACAAUCUACUCCUACUAGACCAAUAAGUUUAAAAGGACCAUUCACGAAAUUGCCACUAAAACACGGUAGUAAUUCACACAGUUCACCGAAUCAAAUAAAUGUUACACGCCUUGGAAAGCGACAGAUAUUUGGAAGUCCUCGCAAAUCUGGUAGAGAUGGCGGUGAUUUGGUUGACAUUUGGGACUUCAGAGACGAUGCAUCCGAAGGAGAGAAGAAGCUUAAAAGAAAACACUCCGAAGACUAUCCCAUGCACUUCGCCCAAAAAGAAAUCAACAAAAAGCGAGAGUAACAUUCGCCAAGAGAAAACAAAAACCACACCAAAAACAGGCGAAAAGGGGAGAAAACAUUAUAAUUUUCAUAGUUCUUGCCCGACGCCGGGAUGCGAUGGAUCGGGUCAUGCCAAUGGUUUACUUUUGUCGCAUCACACGCCAUCGGGAUGUCCUAUACUUCGUUCGAAGAAGAAAAAAAGACAGGUUUGUUGCUGAUAAUCAGGGCCAUGGCGAGGGAGGGUGUUGGGUGUGUCGGACUCUUCCCAAGUUCGUUGUCAAGCAUAAUAUUCGAAAAAGUCGAACUUCUUCGGAUAAAAUUUUUGGCUACUUUGAUGAGCAAUUCGGUCUGGAAUACUUAAAACUUCCAUGUUAAUGUGUUCACCAUUGAACGACUGAAAAUAACUUUUUAUGUUUUUUCAGUGGAAAGUUCUUUUAAUUUAAUAGUGUACCCGUAUAGACAUCAGUAAACUAUUUUUUAAAAAAAUGUUUUGAAAACAAAAUAUGAAAUGUGGAAUCAAAUAACAGAUAAAA